AUCCCACUGCCCUCUGUCGCGUCUCCCCACUCCUCCCCACCUCCUCAUCUCCAGCCAUUUGACAACCUUUGUUGGUGCAACCCGGACACAACAAAGUGGCUUAUGUUUUGGUUUGCUCCCUCACCUCCUUUCUCUUCAAAGCCCUUCAGGGCAGCUGGGAGUUUCCUGGGGAAAGAAGCAUAAUAAAUGAGAACAUGAAUAAUUAAUGCCACCUCUUAUUAUUUCUCCAGUGUUCAGCACUGAUGGAACUGCCCUCAGGGGGCAAGUGGGCAUUUGCAUUUUUUCCUGGGAGAGGCGGGAGCUCCCAGCUUGGGCCUCAGAUGCCAGCGAUUUAGUUCAGCCUGAAUCCAGGAAGGGAGCACAGCGUGUUCCACAGGUGGCUGUUAAACUCCAUAAUAUGUAGGUGGAGGCCUAGUGACCCUCCCAGGAUGAUUUAAAAAAUAAUAUCAAUUCAAUAUAUUUGUUAGUUCCUCCAUGAAGCCUGUUUGCACACACAGUUCAUGCUUUCCUGAGAAUUCAGAGCAGUAGAUAGAGGAAGUAAGAUAUAGUAUUGACCCAAUGUUGCAGGUGAACAGGCUGAAGAGGCGAUGAGCAUUCCCAUGUGGUGGGCAGUGGGCUGCCUGGGCUUCACAGCUCUUCUCCAUGGCUCCCUUGCCUUGUAGAGUCAGGGAGCUGUGAUACUCACUGAGUUUAGAUACUCACUAGGGGUCAAUCUGCUGGGCAAAUGCCCAGCAAAUGUAGAUGAGCACAUACUCUUAUGUUCAGUUCUCUGCUGCAAACCACAGGAGACCUGGAAGUACACAGCAUUGUCCUGUGGAGGCAUCCUGGGAUGGUGGAAAAGAUCAUAACAAUAAUAGCAAUAGAGAGUGGUGGCUACGGAGGUGGGAACCAUGGCAGGACAAGCAUUUAGAAAGUUUCUUCCACUUGAUCGAGUAUUGGUAGAAAGGUGUGCAGCUGAAACUGUAACCAAAGGAGGCAUCAUGCUUCCAGAAAAAUCUCAAGGAAAAAUAUUGCAAGCAACAGUAGUGGCUGUUGGGUCAGGCUCUAAAGGAAAGGGUGGAGAGAUUCAACCAGUUAGUGUAAAAGUGGGAGAUAAAGUUCUUCUCCCAGAAUAUGGAGGCACUAAAGUAGUUCUAGAUGACAAGGAUUAUUUCUUAUUUAGAGAUGGUGACAUUCUUGGAAAGUAAGUAGACUGAAAUAAAUCACUAUUGAAAUGGCAUUGACAUGAAGCUGCCCAUUCCACUGAAGUUCUGAAAUCUUGCAUCAUGUAAAUAAUUUCCGUGUCUCUCUUUUAUAAUAAACUGAUGAUAUCUAAACUGUUGACAUCCCAUGUCAAAAGUUUAGUUUCACUGUACUGAUAUAAACAUUUCCAAAUAAAGAUAUGUAAAUGAAAAAAAA